UCUUGAUGGGAUUCAGAAACUGUGAACUGUCUUCACAGACAAAUAAUACAAAGUCAGCCUAAGAGUGUGGAGUAAACAGCAUCAAGCCUUUCUUUAAUAAGGAACUCAUCUACAAAAAACAAACAAAUACUUGUUAUACUUUUAUGAAUUGUCAAGUGGUACAACACACAGCAAUUAAGAUUAAGACAAACAAAAAAAUCACUGAUUUUAUUAAUUCCAUUGUUGUGUCUAAUAUAUAGAAACAACUUGUGUUGUAAAAGGAAAGAUGACAGCCAGAUGACGUCAAAGUAUCGCGAGAGCGAGACGAAAUUUGAUUUCUUGAAUCCUUCUCGCGGUACUCUGACGUCAUCCGGCUGUCAGUCUUGCGGCGCCGCAUGAAGUCAAAGCCUCCUGACUGCGUGCGAGAACAUUUUGAAUUAUCUGGCACGAGGCAUCACACGUCAAACUUCAACUGACACAACGGUCUCGGUGAAGGGAAUAAGCAAAAGCUCCUUUAAAUUUCGUCAUUUUUUAUACACAUCCCGUUUAUUUUGUAGUUAAUUGUUAGAUAAGUAAGUAAUUUCGUCAAGUUUUCGUUACAGAGUAAGAUUUCGUUAUCAUCGUUACCAUAUACAGUAUUUAUGGUUCAAGAGCGCAGUUUGAUAACUCAUUCAAGGGGGUUCUGUUCCUGCAGUCUUCCAGCAAUACUGGCGCGUAUGACGAUGCGGACACGAACUGCACAGUACAGUAUACCGCCGCCUACUGUACUGUAGUAAAAUAACGUCCUUUAAACAUCUAAACAUGUCCUCCAAAAAGGUAAGUUCAGCAGAUCAGCUUAUCUUAUUCUGUAAUAUUGAUACUGGUUUGAGAAAAACUAAGAUUAAACAACGUACAUGUUUCCAGGAAAAAGGGAAAAACACUGGAAAACAAUUUCAGCCUAAGGUUUGAGAUGGCUAACUGUGUACAUUGCCUUUGUGUACUGCAAGCUGAACUUACAGAUUUAUAUGGACUUUACUUACAGGUUUCCUGUGCUGUUUUGCUCCAUUUUACAGAACAAAAUAAGGCUGAGGUAUCACCAUCCUUGUGGUUAGAGUGAAAGAAUGUGGGUAUUGAGACCAAAAUAAAUAAUGUGCCAUUCUGGACAAACAGCUGUGGACAACAUAAGCAGUCAGAGUAGCCCAUUUUCUCACACAGAUGAGGAGCAACCAGUAAGAAAAAGCAAAAAGAUGUUUUGAUGUUGCCUGAGGCACCUUAUUCACAUCAGUCAAUUUCUUCCAAUAAUGAAUCAAGAAAUCCUGGAGUGGGGAAUCAUUCUGAAAGUAGACCAAAUACAGGACAACACCACAGCAGUGGUUGGAAAAAUGCAGCAGACAAUGAGCAAACCAAGCUGACUUUCAAAAGAUGAUUCGUUAUCUGUUUCUUCAAAGGGGAGGCAGUUUGGGAGAUGGGAAAUAGGAGGAUGCUACAGCUACACAGGGCGAAUUUCAGCAGCUCAGUUUCACACUUGCAACUAACAAUGAAUUAUAGUGAGUCUGUGUGAAUCCCAAACAUUUCAAAAUUAUUUUUGUAUAUAUAUUGUAUGUAAAUUGUAAUGUUGUAAAUAAGAAUGUACAUUGUACAUAAACAUUAAUAGCAAUUAAUAGUCUAUUUUUAAAACAAAAAUAAUGUUUGAUGCUUUGGAUACAUAUAGUAUCA